rnacentral:rRNA from 1 species
UACAGAGGGUGCGAGCGUUAAUCGGAAUUACUGGGUGUAAAGCGCGCGUAGGCGGCUUUGUAAGUCGGUUGUGAAAUCCCCGGGCUUAACCUGGGAACUGCAUCCGAGACUGCAUGGCUAGAGUAUGGGAGAGGGAAGUGGAAUUUCAGGUGUAGCGGUGAAAUGCGUAGAUAUCUGAAGGAACAUCAGUGGCGAAAGCGACUUCCUGGACCAAUACUGACGCUCAUGUGCGAAAGCGUGGGGAGCAAACAGG